rnacentral:rRNA from 1 species
GUGGGGAAUAUUGGACAAUGGGCGAAAGCCUGAUCCAGCCAUGCCGCGUGUGUGAAGAAGGUCUUCGGAUUGUAAAGCACUUUAAGUUGGGAGGAAGGGCAUUAACCUAAUACGUUAGUGUUUUGACGUUACCGACAGAAUAAGCACCGGCUAACUUCGUGCCAGCAGCCGCGGUAAUACGAAGGGUGCAAGCGUUAAUCGGAAUUACCGGGCGUAAAGCGCGCGUAGGUGGUUCGUUAAGUUGGAUGUGAAAGCCCCGGGCUCAACCUGGGAACUGCAUCCAAAACUGGCGAGCUAGAGUACGGUAGAGGGUGGUGGAAUUUCCUGUGUAGCGGUGAAAUGCGUAGAUAUAGGAAGGAACACCAGUGGCGAAGGCGACCACCUGGACUGAUACUGACACUGAGGUGCGAAAGCGUGGGGAGCAAACAGGAUUAGAAACCCUGGUAGUCC